AUUGAACGCUGGCGGCAGGCUUAACACAUGCAAGUCGAGCGAGCGGCGGACGGGUGAGUAAUGUCUGGGAAACUGCCUGAUGGAGGGGGAUAACUACUGGAAACGGUAGCUAAUACCGCAUACCAUCAGAUGUGCCCAAAUGGGAUGAGCUAGUAGGUGGGGUAAUGGCUCACCUAGGCGACGACCCCUAGCUGGUCUGAGAGGAGGCCAAGGCACACGGGAACUGGGACACGGUCCAUACUCCAACGGGAGGCAGCGAUGGGGACUAGUGCACAAUGGGCGGAAGCCGGAUGGAGCCAUGCCGUGUGGGUGGAGAAGGCCUUGGGGUUGUAAAGCACUUUCAGCGAGGAGGCGUUACUCGCAGAAGAAGCACCGGCUAACUCCGUGCCAGCGGCCGCGUAAUAC
rnacentral:rRNA from 1 species